rnacentral:rRNA from 1 species
GGAUUAGAUACCCUGGUAGUCCACGCCGUAAACGAUGUCAACUAGCCGUCGGGCUCAUUUAAGGGUUUGGUGGCGCAGCUAACGCGAUAAGUUGACCGCCUGGGGAGUACGGCCGCAAGGUUAAAACUCAAAGGAAUUGACGGGGGCCCGCACAAGCGGUGGAGCAUGUGGUUUAAUUCGAUGCAACGCGAAGAACCUUACCAGCCCUUGACAUCCCGGGAACUUUCUAGAGAUAGAUUGGUGCCUUCGGGAACCCGGUGACAGGUGCUGCAUGGCUGUCGUCAGCUCGUGCUG